rnacentral:rRNA from 1 species
UACAGAGGUCUCAAGCGUUGUUCGGAUUCAUUGGGCGUAAAGGGUGUGUAGGUGGCGCCGUAAGUCGGGUGUGAAAUUUCGGAGCUUAACUCCGAAACUGCAUUCGAUACUGCGGUGCUUGAGGACUGGAGAGGAGACUGGAAUUUACGGUGUAGCGGUGAAAUGCGUAGAUAUCGUAAGGAAGACCAGUGGCGAAGGCGGGUCUCUGGACAGUUCCUGACGCUGAGGCACGAAGGCCAGGGGGAGCAAAACGGGG